GAUUUCUUUGUUGCAAUGUUGGGGUCUGAGAUAGCACUGCUGGAGGCUGCAGGCGAGAAACAUAGCUGAGACCAUCUUGUAUUGUGUGUUGUUAUUUACUAGCGCUGUGAACCAAGGAAGUGGAAUGACAAAGGGCCCGAAGACUGCACAGCCCCAGCUGGUAGGCCCUGGAGAGAGGCUGGAGUCCUCAGGCGGACAGAAGGAAGACAUCUGAGGGGCGACCAGGAGGUGCCUGUGACUGCGGAGUACAGGAUAUGAAUCAGAGAGAAAGAAGUGAACUCUUGUCGCGGAAGAAAGGGAACGAUUGGCAGAAGAAUUUUUUUCUCUGGUGUGAGUGGCUGAUUUGAAGAACCUGGCAACAUGGAGGCCACAUUUAAAUAUUCAUAA